AGUGGGAGCUCUAGGUUGGUGCAAAAGCAAUUGUGGUUUUUGCUAUUAAAAGUAAUGGCAAAAAACUUCAAUUACUUUUGUACCAACCUAAAUAAA
rnacentral:miRNA from 10 species